rnacentral:rRNA from 1 species
AUUGAACGCUGGCGGCAGGCUUAACACAUGCAAGUCGAGCGGUAACAGAGAGAAGCUUGCUUCUCUGCUGACGAGCGGCGGACGGGCGAGUAAUGCCUAGGAAUCUGCCUAGUAGUGGGGGAUAACUUGCCGACAGGUAAGCUAAUACCGCAUACGUCCUACGGGAGAAAGGAGGGGACCUUCGGGCCUUUCGCUAUUAGAUGAGCCUAGGUCGGAUUAGUUAGUUGGUGAGGUAAUGGCUCACCAAGACCGCGAUCCGUAACUGGUCUGAGAGGAUGAUCAGUCACACUGGAACUGAGACACGGUCCAGAAUCCUACGGGAAGCAGCAGUAGGGAAUAUUGGACCAUGGGGGGAACCCUGAUCCAGCCAUGCCGCGUGUGUGAAGAAGGUCUUAGGAUUGUAAAGCCCUUUAAGUUGGGAGGAAGAGCAGUUAACUAAUAUUUGACCGUUUUGACGUUACCGACAGAAUAAGCACCGGCUAACUUCGUGCCAGCCGCCGCAGUAA